UAAACCGGAGGAAGGUGGGGACGACGUCAAGUCAUCAUGGCCCUUACGAGUAGGGCUACACACGUGCUACAAUGGCGCAUACAGAGGGCGGCCAACUUGCGAAAGUGAGCGAAUCCCAAAAAGUGCGUCGUAGUCCGGAUUGGAGUCUGCAACUCGACUCCAUGAAGUCGGAAUCGCUAGUAAUCGUGGAUCAGAAUGCCACGGUGAAUACGUUCCCGGGCCUUGUACACACCGCCCGUCACACCAUGGGAGUGGGCUGCACCAGAAGUGGUUAGUUUAACCCCUUUUCUUUCGAGAUUAGGGGAGGACGAUCACCACGGUGUGGUUCAUGACUGGGGUGAAGUCGUAACAAGGUAGCGCUAGGGGAACCUGGCGCUGGAUCACCUCCUUAUACGAUGAU
rnacentral:rRNA from 1 species